AGUGAACGCUGGCGGUAGGCCUAACACAUGCAAGUCGAACGGCAGCACAGUAAGAGCUUGCUCUUACGGGUGGCGAGUGGCGGACGGGUGAGGAAUACAUCGGAAUCUACUUUUUCGUGGGGGAUAACGUAGGGAAACUUACGCUAAUACCGCAUACGACCUACGGGUGAAAGCAGGGGAUCUUCGGACCUUGCGCGAUUGAAUGAGCCGAUGUCGGAUUAGCUAGUUGGCGGGGUAAAGGCCCACCAAGGCGACGAUCCGUAGCUUGUCUGAGAGGAUGAUCAGCCACACUGGAACUGAGACACGGUCCAGACUCCUACGGGAGGCAGCAGUGGGGAAUAUGGGACAAUGGGCGCAAGCCUGAUCCAGCCAUACCGCGUGGGUGAAGAAGGCCUUCGGGUUGUAAAGCCCUUUUGUUGGGAAAGAAAAGCAGCAGGUUAAUACCCCGCUGUUCUGACGGUACCCAAAGAAUAAGCACCGGCUAACUUCGUG
rnacentral:rRNA from 1 species